rnacentral:rRNA from 1 species
AUGAUAUCAUUAAAUCAGAUAGAAAACAGAAAAAGGCGAGACCAAUAUAUGGCACGGCGAAAUAGAUUAACACCUGAACAGAGGGAGGAAAUCAAUGCACGUUGCAGAGAAGCUAGGAAAAAAACAGAGGAGGAGAGGACUGCCCGUCAAAGAGAAGCCAGGCAACGAAUGACACCAGAGGAGAAGCAACAGAGUAACACCCUUAGAAGGGCGGCCUACCAAAAUAUGUCAGUCCAUGACAACCAAGAGACAAACACCCGCCGAAGAACACGUCUGCAAAACAAAUCACCUAAGGAGAAGCAGAACAUGCUAGCUCAGCGCAAGAAGAGACUCGCGGCUAGGCGCAACACCCCUUGCGCUGAAUCCAUCGCAAUGCCGCGCCCUGAUGCAGGUACCUUAGCUACACCCAACCUGAUGUCGAGCACUCAUACGUUGGCAUUCAGAGAAUCCGAAGCUUCAGCUCCUGCCCCUGCCCCCCGGUUUGCGAGUAAGGCUGGGAACAACUUCGAAUCAGACGGUAAUCCUUCCAUCUUUACUCUACUUGUUCUGUCCAUGUGCAUUGAACCAGUAUAUAACGGCUCCACAACGGUGCAGGCGAGUACCUUAGUCAUACCCUGGAUGAUAAUGAUGCCCCCAACGAACUCAUAA